rnacentral:rRNA from 1 species
CCUACGGGGGGCAGCAGUGGGGAAUAUUGCACAAUGGGGGAAACCCUGAUGCAGCGACGCCGCGUGAGUGAAGAAGUAAUUCGUUAUGUAAAGCUCUAUCAGUAGGGAAGUAAAUGACGGUACCUGAGUAAGAAGCCCCGGCUAACUACGUGCCAGCAGCCGCGGUAAUACGUAGGGGGCAAGCGUUAUCCGGAUUUACUGGGUGUAAAGGGAGCGUAGGCGGCAGUGCAAGUCUGGUGUGAAAGGGCGGGGCGCAACUCCCGGACUGCAGUGGAAACUGUACGGCUGGAGUGCAGGAGAGGUAAGUGGAAUUCCUAGUGUAGCGGUGAAAUGCUUAGAUAUUAGGAAGAACCCCGAUGGCGAAGGCAGCUUACUGGACUGUAACUGACGUUGAGGCUCGAAAGCGUGGGGAGCAAACAGGAUUAGAUACCCCAGUAGUC